rnacentral:rRNA from 1 species
GAUGAACGCUGGCGGCGUGCCUAAUACAUGCAAGUCGAGCGAAUGGAUUAAGAGCUUGCUCUUAUGAAGUUAGCGGCGGACGGGUGAGUAACACGUGGGUAACCUGCCCAUAAGACUGGGAUAACUCCGGGAAACCGGGGCUAAUACCGGAUCACAUUUUGAACCGCAUGGUUCGAAAUUGAAAGGCGGCUUCGGCUGUCACUUAUGGAUGGACCCGCGGCGCAUUAGCUAGUUGGUGAGGUAACGGCUCACCAAGGCAACGAUGCGUAGCCGACCUGAGAGGGUGAUCGGCCACACUGGGACUGCGACACGGCCCAGACUCCUACGGGAGGCAGCAGUAGGGAAUCUUCCGCAAUGGACGAAAGUCUGACUGAGCCACGCCGCGUGAGUGAUGAAGGCUUUCGGGUCGUAAAACUCUGUUGUUAGGGAAGAACAAGUGCUAGUUGAAUAAGCUGGCACCUUGACGGUACCUAACCAGAAAGCCACGGCUAACUACGUGCCAGCCGCCGCCGUAA